rnacentral:rRNA from 1 species
GAGUUUGAUCAUGGCUCAGGACGAACGCUGGCGGCGUGCCUAAUACAUGCAAGUAGAACGCUGAAGGAAUAGCUUGCUAUUCUGGAAGAGUUGCGAACGGGUGAGUAACGCGUAGGUAACCUACCUCAUAGCGGGGGAUAACUAUUGGAAACGAUAGCUAAUACCGCAUAAGAAUACUUAUUGCAUGAUAAGUAUUUAAAAGGAACAACAGUUUCACUGUGAGAUGGACCUGCGUUGUAUUAGCUAGUUGGUAAGGUAACGGCUUACCAAGGCGACGAUACAUAGCCGACCUGAGAGGGUGAUCGGCCACACUGGGACUGAGACACGGCCCAGACUCCUACGGGAGGCAGCAGUAGGGAAUCUUCGGCAAUGGGGGCAACCCUGACCGAGCAACGCCGCGUGAGUGAAGAAGGUUUUCGGAUCGUAAAGCUCUGUUGUCAGCCAAGAAUGUAUGUGAGAGUGGAAA